rnacentral:lncRNA from 1 species
GUAGAAGUAAAGGGUGAGUGCUAGGCUAGCCACUAAAGAGAGGGUGUUGUACACUCUUGUGUAAUAUUAUUGUGUUGUAAUAAAGUUCUAUUUCUUACAAGUGUUAGUCUGCCGGUUAGGCCAUAUAGUACUUAGUGCAUAAAUUGUGAUCCAUCGAAGGUUGGCUCUAUCACCCAGGAUCACAAGGAUCUAGACUUCAUCAUAAGUUGGCUCUGCCACCCCGAAGUUAGCAUCAUCUGUUGGUAGGCUCUGCCACUUGAAAGUGAGAAGGAGGCUCUGCCGUCAAAAGGAGGCUCUGCCGUCAAAAGGACCCGUUGCACUAAGGAACUAGAAAUUAAAAGGGCUGACCGACUCCAGAGUGAGUUGGUGUCCUAGGUGUAGGUCCUCAGAUUAGUGGGUAUUAGGGCCACCUCAAUUUCCAACAUUAUUGAUUUACAUUUACUUGGGAAAUGCUGUGCUAGAAUGACUAGUAAUGAUAUGAGGUAAAUAAUAUUGAUGUCAGUAAUUACUCAAUUCAAUCCAUUUUGCACAUGUACUCUACUUUUGUAAGGCAAAUGAAACCUUUAGCUACAAGGUCAGGGUACAUGCCUUUUUCCAUCAUUUGGGAACAUGUUU